AGAGACCGAAUGCCUAUUAAGUAUGUAUCAUACCUGUAUUAACUCAUCAAGUCUUUCCAAGUCCAAGGUGAGUCACUUGCAGCAUAAAGCAGAAGGAAAAAGUCUAUUCAGAAACUUACGGAGCUAGAAGUGAGCCAGCUGGGCUUCAUGGGCUCAGGAAACAAGUUACAGAGACAGAAGAGGAGCUCUUGGAGCGUAGGAGAAAGGCAAAGAGAGAAGGGAAGGGAGGGAGAAAGAGCGAGAGAA